CUACGGAAGAUGAAAAAGGCGAGGACUGAAAUGAGAAAGGAAGGAGUUCGGCAAGACGACUUCGGUUCACACGUGAAAGUGCUUCGAAAGGUGUCAGCAGGUGCGCAGAGCUGGAGCCGGCAUGUUCGCCCGCUGGGCCGAGUGUUCACCCACUUCAAAGUCUUCUUAGAGAGUCGAUCCGUGUCCGUCCCAGCAAGAAAACGGCUGCGCGUUAUUGUACUAACGCGCGAUGGAGCAAGAAAACGUAUGCGCGUGUACGGAAGCGCAACGGCUUUCGCGCUCAUCCCUUGCUUCAAAACUAAAGGUUUUAGCCCUCCGUUUGCUGGUCGCCAAAGACGAGAGCUUCGCCUUUGGAAGCGCCAGUAGCGUAGGGCGACCGGGCCAGCCGAGCCCCUCUGAAUUAGUUGACGGCUUUGAUGACUCGACGGUGAAUAUUAAGGAAAGGAGAGCGAGGGGAAGAGGGGUUUUAAAAACCCUUGGCCCGAUCAUCCAAUUCGCUCCGACGAUCCAGGCAUGGUUCAGUAGUCAAAGCAACUUCGUCACUUUCAUGUACCCAUCGGACGGCAGCCCUUUCGGGGGUUCCUUAGGGACCGAUUCACUCUGCGUAGAUUGACUGAAUGCAGAAAGCCUUCCACUGGCAGGCGAUCGUGUUUUUCACAGGAUUUCUUGU
rnacentral:lncRNA from 1 species